GUCGUACGCUUCUUUUUCCACCGGAGCUUGCUCCACCGGAAAAAGAAGAGUGGCGAACGGGUGAGUAACACGUGGGUAACCUGCCCAUCAGAAGGGGAUAACACUUGGAAACAGGUGCUAAUACCGUAUAACAAUCGAAACCGCAUGGUUUUGAUUUGAAAGGCGCUUUCGGGUGUCGCUGAUGGAUGGACCCGCGGUGCAUUAGCUAGUUGGUGAGGUAACGGCUCACCAAGGCCACGAUGCAUAGCCGACCUGAGAGGGUGAUCGGCCACAUUGGGACUGAGACACGGCCCAAACUCCUACGGGAGGCAGCAGUAGGGAAUCUUCGGCAAUGGACGAAAGUCUGACCGAGCAACGCCGCGUGAGUGAAGAAGGUUUUCGGAUCGUAAAACUCUGUUGUUAGAGAAGAACAAGGAUGAGAGUAACUGUUCAUCCCUUGACGGUAUCUAACCAGAAAGCCACGGCUAACUACGUGCCAGCAGCCGCGGUAAUACGUAGGUGGCAAGCGUUGUCCGGAUUUAUUGGGCGUAAAGCGAGCGCAGGCGGUUUCUUAAGUCUGAUGUGAAAGCCCCCGGCUCAACCGGGGAGGGUCAUUGGAAACUGGGAGACUUGAGUGCAGAAGAGGAGAGUGGAAUUCCAUGUGUAGCGGUGAAAUGCGU
rnacentral:rRNA from 1 species